rnacentral:rRNA from 1 species
UACGUAGGGUGCAGGCGUUAAUCGGAAUUACUGGGCGUAAAGCGUGCGCAGGCGGUCUCUUAAGACAGGUGUGAAAGCCCCGGGCUCAACCUGGGAACUGCGCUUGAUACGGGAUGGCUAGAGAUCGGGAGAGGAGAGUGGAAUUCCCAGUGUAGAGGUGAAAUUCGUAGAUAUUGGGAAGAACACCGGUGGCGAAGGCGGCUCUCUGGACCGAUACUGACGCUGAGGCGCGAAAGCGUGGGGAGCAAACAGG